CAGUUGCAUAGGCCAAAUGCCAUCAAAGACAACCUUAUUAUGGCACAGGAAUACCAGUGACAAUCAGCAACAUUAUUUGAUGUUUCCAGGCCAUCAAAUAAACUGGAUUACUUAAUCCACCACAGAAACAAGAGGAUUUGUUAAUGUGAAGCAAAGUGAGGCUCAGUACAUCUACAACAAGUGAACAAAAAGAGGGGACAAAAGCUACAGACAAUGGACCUCAAAGUAUACACAUCAUGAACAAAACCCAAGAGAGCAAAGAAAGUUGGGUGAGACCUCCAGUAAAAUCAAAGUGACACAGCUUGCUCCAUUGGGCUCCAUAUUACAAAGGUGCUCGCUAUACAAAACCUCAACUCAACCAUCAGGCAAAAGACAUUUUGUGAAGCAGCCACUUGUAUCCUGUGGGAUGGACCCUGAGUUCAAAU
rnacentral:lncRNA from 1 species